GGAGUUGUGGCUCAGUGGCAGAGUACUUGCCUGGCAUGUGUGAGGCACUGAGUUCAAUCCUCAGCAUCACAU
rnacentral:tRNA from 1 species